UACGAAGGGGGCUAGCGUUGUUCGGAAUCACUGGGCGUAAAGGGCGCGUAGGCGGCUUUAUAAGUCGGGGGUGAAAGCCUGUGGCUCAACCACAGAAUUGCCUUCGAUACUGUAGAGCUUGAGACCGGAAGAGGUAAGUGGAACUGCGAGUGUAGAGGUGAAAUUCGUAGAUAUUCGCAAGAACACCAGUGGCGAAGGCGGCCAACUGGUCCGAUACUGACGCUGAGGCGCGAAAGCGUGGGGAGCAAACAGG
rnacentral:rRNA from 1 species